CUUGUUUCUAAUUACUAGUCAGAAAUCCAGCCCUUUUUCUGUGUCGGCCUCCCGGAACAGUCACUGGAAAUGACACCUGCGACGCAGCCGCGAUGGCUAUAAAAUGACAAAUUCAAAGAGGGGAAGGAGAAAAAGCAAGAAUUAAAGAAAAAGCAGGGGGUGAGGAGCGUGUGAUAGGAGAGCAGGGUUUUCUCAGCACUGGUAGGAGCAGAUGAGGAGGAGGCUGGCUCAACGAGAGGAGCGAGAGAGAGACAGAAGACAGAGAAAGAAUGUAAUACUGCCACUGUUGAACAUCAGCAGGGAGCUACAGGCAGAAGCCCUUCAGAGAAACUGUCCGGCUACACCUGUCGGCAGGAGCUGAUGGGAUUAAUGUGUACACAUGGAAGCAAAAUGUCACAAACUUACUGCAGGCUUUCCUGUGACUUUCAGGAAUAUUGACAUCAGAUCCUGCGAAGAGACGCCACUGCAAACUGAACUGUGAAUGGGUGGAGAACAGCAAGGACUCCUGCUCUGACCUGAGGGGAAAAGCACAGUCCUGCCAAGAAUACAAAGAGUGCAGGAUGACAGCAGCUACACUGACCAAUCCCACAUUAAAAGCAUAAGCCUGCUUGCAUUGAGGGAAAAUGGAUUGCCUCUGUGAGAUCAAAACUGCAGUCUCCUGAUGCAAGAGCUGUUCAAUGCCUAAGUCUGUGUCACUUCUGAUGAUAUCGAGCCAACGCGUUUUUUGGCAGCCUCUUUUUCCGGUAACUAUGCCAAGCAUCAUUGCAUGUUCUAGUGAAG
ensembl:lncRNA